rnacentral:lncRNA from 1 species
GCUUUUGUAAAUGAAGCUUUUGAAGCUGGAGCUCUUGUAAAUGAAGCUUUUGAAGCUGGAGCUCUUGUAAAUGAAGCUUUUGAAGCUAGAGCUCUGUAAAUGAAGCUUUUGAAGCUAGAGCUCUGUAAAAGAAGCUUUUGAAGCUAGAACUUUGUAAAUGAAGCUUUUGAAGCUAGAGCUUUUGUAAAUGAAGUUUUUGAAGUUAAAGCUCUGUAAAUGAAACUUUUGAAGCUGAUUGACAUGAGUGAUGCUCAUGAAUGUUUAUGUAUGAUUGACAUGAGUAAUGCUCAUGAAUGUUGACAUGAGUGAUGCUCAUGAAUGUUUAUGUGUGAUUGAUAUGAGUAAUGCUCAUGAAUGUUUAUGUAUGACUGACAUGAGCAAUGCUCAUGUAUAAUUUGAAGUACUAGACGUACUUUUGAUUACUUGGUUGGUGAUAAUAGCGGCAGGCUGCCGAGUAAUUUGGAGUACUGAGCGUACUUUUGAACACCUGGUUGGCGACAAUAACGGCGGGGUGCCGAAUAAUGUUUUGUAGUACUGGGCGUACUUUUGGUCACCUGGUUGGUGCUAUUUUGGGCUUAUGGGCCUUCGCCCUCCACACAACAUUUCAGCCCAUUUAUUUUGGGCUUUGACGUUUUUUUUUUUAUUACCCUCUGAUGGGGUUUAUACAGAUGUUUUCGAAAGAUAAGAAAAAUAAAUUACAUCAUUCAAAAAUAAGAAAAGUAAAUCACAUCAUUCUGGUAGGGUGUUUAUUCCUUGCUUUUGCAGUGUGGGUGUUUAUUCAUUGCUUUUGCUUUUCUCUUUUCCACCGCACUUUUCUUUUGCUUUUGUGUUUUCUCUACAACUUUGAAGCUUGCCUCGCUUGAAACAAUAAAUAGUGGUGACAGCUUGCACCUCCCUCUUUUGCUUUUGUUGUUCUCUUGUCACUUUCUCAGAAAAUAAUUUCAUAUGGCAUUAUCCUUUUGCUUUCUCACAUCCAUGAAACCGCGAGCACAACCUUCUCCUUUUGCUUUCUUUAAUUUUUCAAUUAACCACUUUCCCCUCACACAGUCCAUUUCCAGAUCUCUACUUUCAUCAUUGGUUUUUCUUGAUUGAUGUUCCUCUGCAGAUUUUGAGCUUGAGAUCCAUCGAGCACAUGGAAGGCCAUCACACGCUCACCAGGCUGACCUACCUUGACCAUAGCACAUGUCAGCAGCAGCGAGCGGGUCGGCGAGCGAAAGUGAGAAAAGCAAAUAUGAUUGCUCUUCUAGAAUGUACCGAUCCUUUAGAUUUGAGGUCUUAUCUGCAUCUAAGAUGGAGGAAAUCAAGCUAGCAACUUUGUAGCAAUUGCACAGCCCUGUUGAUGCUUCACUGCUGUUGUUGCUCUUGGCAACAGCCAUACCAGUAUCCCGCUCCUCAACCACCCAGAACACUAAUCACAAUUUCGGCCCACAAAUCUCAAUUUUCAGGCUUUUCGUGCAGAAUAUUUCAAAAUACUUUUCCAACAGAUGAGAAACCUAUUGAGCUGACAGUGGCAGAGGUUGGAGAGGGAGGUGGAGCUGCAUGGUUGGCUGCCAAAUGUUGAUGCAGUGUCG